rnacentral:lncRNA from 1 species
CCAUCAUUAUUUUGGAAAUAAAAAAGGGAAACCACAGUCAAAAGGACUCUUCUGCAAAUAAACAAAAGUUAAAAUUUGACCACGAAAAUUCAAACUGAGCUAGCUUUGGCCAAAUCGAUUCAUUUAAUAAAUCUGCAAUGUGAGGGGCAUAUAUAAUAAAUGCAUGAUGCAUCACUUCUCCAUAUAUUACGAUAACCUUCUCUUACCCUGAUCAAUGCCUAACUCGUGUUGAUGUUGCUGAUGCUGAUGCUGUUUCUAUUCAAACCUAUAAGAAAGCAUCUCCCUUUUGGCUCCCUCUGGUUAGUCCUAGUCAUUGUUAAUCUUUGCUUUUUAAAUAAAGAAGGUGGAGAAGCUGUCAUGCUCCCAUCAAUUGCUUCAACAUUAGAAGUCAUCAGCUUGCCACCUGCUACCGCUGAAAUUGGACUGAGGACAGAGCAUAGCUCUAACGACUUAGGGAAUCAACUAGAGACAAGUUGAGCAGGCGGAAUCAGGCGUGGGGGGUGGAUCUCUUUCUUGUGUGGCCUGCAAAAUGUCUACUUGUUAGAGAGUUUUCGGCGGAUGACCCUUGGAUGCCUAAGUCAGAAUCGAGAAGCCAUAAUAUGGAAGGGAGAAAAUUUAGCAGAGUAAGGGC